rnacentral:rRNA from 1 species
UACGUAGGGUGCGAGCGUUGUCCGGAAUUACUGGGCGUAAAGAGCUCGUAGGUGGUUUGUCGCGUCGUCUGUGAAAUUCCGGGGCUUAACUCCGGGCGUGCAGGCGAUACGGGCAUAACUUGAGUACUGUAGGGGAGACUGGAAUUCCUGGUGUAGCGGUGAAAUGCGCAGAUAUCAGGAGGAACACCAAUGGCGAAGGCAGGUCUCUGGGCAGUUACUGACGCUGAGGAGCGAAAGCAUGGGUAGCGAACAGGAUUAGAUACCCGGGUA